rnacentral:lncRNA from 1 species
UGCAGAUGAGAGCAGCAAUUAACCAAAAGUCAAUAGAAACUGCUGAAAGAAAACACCUCAAAGAGUUGCUGAGAGCUAAAUUAGCUGAAUGUGGCUGGAAUUGUAAAAGUAAUCAGAAAGAAAGGACUGGAGCACAUUACUGUUGAUGACUUGGUGGUUGAAAUUACUCCAAAAGGCAGAGCCCUGGUACCUGACAGUGUAAAGAAGGAGCUCC